rnacentral:lncRNA from 1 species
CGGCGGCGGCGGCUGGAGCCUCUGAUUGGGUUUCGGGGUCCGGUACUGGAGCCAAUCAGCGCGGGCAGCGAACCGGGGGAGCGAGGCACGGAGUCCCUACCUGGCAGCUGCCUGGGAUCUGUAGAGUGAAGCUUCAGGACACAACGUGGCCGGGCCAUGGAGCAGUAUACAGCAAACAGCAAUAGUUCCACAGAGCAGAUCGUGGUGCAGGCUGGCCAGAUUCAGCAGCAGCAGGGUGGUGUCACUGCUGUCCAGCUGCAGACUGAGGCCCAGGUGGCAUCCGCCUCAGGCCAGCAAGUCCAGACCCUCCAGGUUCAGGGGCAGCCAUUAAUGGUGCAAGUCAGUGGAGGCCAGCUGAUUACAU